rnacentral:rRNA from 1 species
UACCAGCACCCCGAGUGGUCGGGACGUUUUAUUGGGCCUAGAGCAUCCGUAGCCGGUUCUACAAGUCUUCCGUUAAAUCCACCUGCUCAACAGAUGGGCUGCGGAAGAUACUAUGGAGCUAGGAGGCGGGAGAGGCAAGCGGUACUCGAUGGGUAGGGGUAAAAUCCGUUGAUCCAUUGAAGACCACCAGUGGCGAAGGCGGCUUGCCAGAACGCGCUCGACGGUGAGGGAUGAAAGCUGGGGGAGCAAACCGG